ensembl:lncRNA
UGUGACUGACACUUGAGAACACUAAUAUUCCCUGUCCGAUUAUAAUCCCUGUAGGCGACCUCAUUAGCCAGGCAUCCGCACUGAACCCUGGCUGAGUAGGGUCUAGGAGCUCGGCUGUCAGUCAACACCUUUUUCUUCAAACAAAGGGCAUCAGGGAGUAAUGAUCCGACUUGUUCUCAGUUUUGGAAUUUUUGUAGACUUAUGCAUGCAAGCAUGCAUGCAUUUAUGACACUUUAUCUCAGUGAUGAAAUGUUUUGGACACAAAUCAAACAGCAAUACAUUACACACAUGUGAAAGAAAUGGAGAAAAUUAGAAUAGGGAUUUUUAACUUCAGAGUGCAGUAAUCUUUCUUUAUCAUUCUCAGAAUAUGCGGUUUAGAAAAGAGCGCAACUUUUGAAAAUCACUUGUAAAACUAACCACACAUCUAUUUAGGGACUGCACUCACAUGCUAUUUUGCCCUGUUUACUGACUGUGGCCCUUAUUCCACUAAAAUAAAAGUAAAAUAAAAAAUAAAUAAAUAAAAAAAACUUAUUAAAAGAUUAAAAACUACAAUAAUACUGCGCCCAUUAAAAAUCAUGCCAACUUUAAACACAUCACAUUGCCUUCAUUUCUUAGACGUGUUUCUUAAACAUCACUUGGAUGUUGCUGUUACUGUCACAUUACAUUUUUUGUAUUAAAUUCAAUAGUCUACAAUUUAGACUUUAUUUGCAUUACAAAGGUGCUUCAGUUAUCUGCACACCAGGUAGAUAGAAAGAAGGGAAAAAAAUCUAACAUGUUUUUUUUUUCUUCUCGUGCACAUUACUUUAAUUUUUAUUGUACAAAAGGACAAAAACACGAUGGUAAAGUUCAAACUGCAUCCAGGACAGAAACAACUGUAUAUAUAUACUGUAUUGCUAAUAGAAGUCUGGCUCUUCUGCACACACUGCAUGCUAACACAAAUCCAGCCAAGAACACAUAAUGAUGAUGAAGCUACGUGUGUGCUAACCCCAGCCCAGCAGCCAGACCCUGAACUUCAACAGGUAGCGAUGAGUCUCCAUUUCUACCUGUUCAUGCUUCUAAAGUAGAAUUAGAGUUAUUGUAGAUCUC